rnacentral:rRNA from 1 species
GUAGAGUGCUUCGGCACUUGAGACCGGCGCACGGGUGCGUAACACGUGUACAAUCUACCUUUUGCUAAGGGAUAGCCCGAAGAAAUUUGGAUUAAUACCUUAUAGUAUUGUUUGGUGGCAUCACURAAUAAUUAAAGCUCUGGUGGCAAAAGAUGAGUACGCGUCCCAUUAGCUAGUUGGUGUGGUAACGGCAUACCAAGGCUACGAUGGGUAGGGGUCCUGAGAGGGAGGUCCCCCACACUGGUACUGAGACACGGACCAGACUCCUACGGGAGGCAGCAGUGAGGAAUAUUGGACAAUGGUCGGAAGACUGAUCC